rnacentral:rRNA from 2 species
UACGGAGGGUGCAAGCGUUGCUCGGAAUUAUUGGGCGUAAAGGGUAGGUAGGUGGUCUUAUUUGUGUGGGGUGAAAGCCUUGGGCUUAACUCAAGAAGUGCCCCGCAAACGGUAAGACUGGAGUCUUGGAGAGGCUAGCGGAAUUCCCGGUGUAGCGGUGAAAUGCGUAGAGAUCGGGAGGAACACCAGAGGCGAAGGCGGCUAGCUGGACAAGCACUGACACUCAACUACGAAAGCGUGGGGAGCAAACAGG